rnacentral:tRNA from 1 species
GCCCGGUUAGCUCAGUUGGUAGAGCAUCAGACUUUUAAUCUGAGGGCGAUGGGUUCGAGUCUGAUAUCGGAAA